rnacentral:rRNA from 1 species
GACGAACGCUGGCGGCGUGCUUAACACAUGCAAGUCGAACGGAAAGGCCCUGCUUUUGUGGGGUGCUCGAGUGGCGAACGGGCGAGUAACACGUGAGUAACCUGCCCUUGACUUUGGGAUAACUUCAGGAAACUGGGGCUAAUACCGGAUAGGAGCUCCUGCUGCAUGGUGGGGGUUGGAAAGUUUCGGCGGUUGGGGAUGGACUCGCGGCUUAUCAGCUUGUUGGUGGGGUAGUGGCUUACCAAGGCUUUGACGGGUAGCCGGCCUGAGAGGGUUACCGGCCACAUUGGGACUGAGAUACGGCCCAGACUCCUACGGGAGGCAGCAGUGGGGAAUAUUGCACAAUGGGCGGAAGCCUGAUGCAGCAACGCCGCGUGCGGGAUGACGGCCUUCGGGUUGUAAACCGCUUUCGCCUGUGACGAAGCGUGAGUGACGGUAAUGGGUAAAGAAGCACCGGCUAACUACGUG